AGUGAACGCUGGCGGUAGGCCUAACACAUGCAAGUCGAACGGCAGCACAGUAAGAGCUUGCUCUUACGGGUGGCGAGUGGCGGACGGGUGAGGAAUACAUCGGAAUCUACUUUUUCGUGGGGGAUAACGUAGGGAAACUUACGCUAAUACCGCAUACGACCUACGGGUGAAAGCAGGGGAUCUUCGGACCUUGCGCGAUUGAAUGAGCCGAUGUCGGAUUAGCUAGUUGGCGGGGUAAAGGCCCACCAAGGCGACGAUCCGUAGCUGGUCUGAGAGGAUGAUCAGCCACACUGGAACUGAGACACGGUCCAGACUCCUACGGGAGGCAGCAGUGGGGAAUAUUGGACAAAGGGCGCAAGCCUGAUCCAGCCAUACCGCGUGGGUGAAGAAGGCCUUCGAGUUGUAAAGCCCUUUUGUUGGGAAAGAAAAGCAGCAGGUUAAUACCCCGCUGUUCCGACGGUACCCAAAGAAUAAGCACCGGCUAACUUCGUG
rnacentral:rRNA from 1 species